UACAUGGUAUAACACUAGUAUGUCCAUUUCCAUUUCAUAAUUCACACGACAUAGAAAUGAACAUAUUGUUGAUAUAUUAUGUA
rnacentral:pre_miRNA from 1 species